UACGUAGGUGGCAAGCGUUGUCCGGAUUUACUGGGCGUAAAGAGCGCGCAGGCGGUCGUUCAAGUCGCGUGUGAAAGCCCCCGGCUCAACUGGGGAGGGUCACGCGAUACUGAUCGACUCGAAGGCAGGAGAGGGUAGUGGAAUUCCCGGUGUAGUGGUGAAAUGCGUAGAUAUCGGGAGGAACACCAGUGGCGAAGGCGGCAUCCUGGACCGGUAUUGACGCUGAGGCGCGAAAGCCAGGGGAGCAAAGCGGGG
rnacentral:rRNA from 1 species